AAAUUGAAGAGUUUGAUCAUGGCUCAGAUUGAACGCUGGCGGCAGGCCUAACACAUGCAAGUCGAGCGGUAGCACAGAGAGCUUGCUCUCGGGUGACGAGCGGCGGACGGGUGAGUAAUGUCUGGGAAACUGCCUGAUGGAGGGGAUAACUACUGGAAACGGUAGCUAAUACCGCAUAACGUCGCAAGACCAAAGUGGGGGACCUUCGGGCCUCAUGCCAUCAGAUGUGCCCAGAUGGGAUUAGCUAGUAGGUGGGGUAACGGCUCACCUAGGCGACGAUCCCUAGCUGGUCUGAGAGGAUGACCAGCCACACUGGAACUGAGACACGGUCCAGACUCCUACGGGAGGCAGCAGUGGGGAAUAUUGCACAAUGGGCGCAAGCCUGAUGCAGCCAUGCCGCGUGUGUGAAGAAGGCCUUCGGGUUGUAAAGCACUUUCAGCGGGGAGGAAGGCGUUAAGGUUAAUAACCUUGGCGAUUGACGUUACCCGCAGAAGAAGCACCGGCUAACUCCGUGCCAGCAGCCGCGGUAAUACGGAGGGUGCAAGCGUUAAUCGGAAUUACUGGGCGUAAAGCGCACGCAGGCGGUCUGUCAAGUCGGAUGUGAAAUCCCCGGGCUCAACCUGGGAACUGCAUUCGAAACUGGCAGGCUAGAGUCUUGUAGAGGGGGGUAGAAUUCCAGGUGUAGCGGUGAAAUGCGUAGAGAUCUGGAGGAAUACCGGUGGCGAAGGCGGCCCCCUGGACAAAGACUGACGCUCAGGUGCGAAAGCGUGGGGAGCAAACAGGAUUAGAUACCCUGGUAGUCCACGCCGUAAACGAUGUCGAUUUGGAGGUUGUGCCCUUGAGGCGUGGCUUCCGGAGCUAACGCGUUAAAUCGACCGCACGGGAGUACGGCCGCAAGGUUAAAACUCAAAUGAAUUGACGGGGCCCGCACAAGCGGUGGAGCAUGUGGUUUAAUUCGAUGCAACGCGAAGAACCUUGGUCUUGACAUCCACAGAACUUAGCAGAGAUGCUUUGGUGCCUUCGGGAACUGUGAGACAGGUGCUGCAUGGCUGUCGUCAGCUCGUGUUGUGAAAUGUUGGGUUAAGUCCCGCAACGAGCGCAACCCUUAUCCUUUGUUGCCAGCGGUCCGGCCGGGAACUCAAAGGAGACUGCCAGUGAUAAACUGGAGGAAGGUGGGGAUGACGUCAAGUCAUCAUGGCCCUUACGACCAGGGCUACACACGUGCUACAAUGGCAUAUACAAAGAGAAGCGACCUCGCGAGAGCAAGCGGACCUCAUAAAGUAUGUCGUAGUCCGGAUUGGAGUCUGCAACUCGACUCCAUGAAGUCGGAAUCGCUAGUAAUCGUAGAUCAGAAUGCUACGGUGAAUACGUUCCCGGGCCUUGUACACACCGCCCGUCACACCAUGGGAGUGGGUUGCAAAAGAAGUAGGUAGCUUAACCUUCGGGAGGGCGCUUACCACUUUGUGAUUCAUGACUGGGGUGAAGUCGUAACAAGGUAACCGUAGGGGAACCUGCGGUUGGAUCACCUCCUUACCUUAAAGAA
rnacentral:rRNA from 1 species